UUGGUGACAGAGACAGUGCGAAGUUUAAAGGCGCUCACUCACAUUUGCACUGCGUGAACACUUGAGAAAAUGGCUAGACUACAUCAAUUUGUUACGGCCUUCACUGCGCCUAAGUGAUUCAGUUCGAUUGACAUACCCUGUCUAUCGACGCGCUGAGGCAUUCAGGGGACUUACCGGAAACCAAACUUUUUCUUCAAACUUGUUUCGUAGCUGAGUCGAACGCGUCGAAAGAGGAAAGAAAGAGACAAGACCGUUCCGCGUCCAAACUUUUACAGUUCCUUAUUUUCUUCCUCAUAUUCGAGUCAUGUUGGAUAAUAGUUGGUUGCUGUCUAAAAUAAGUGAAAUACUGACUUUUUGUCAAGAAUAACGGCCGCCUUCGAGUGUUAUUCCUCCACACAUAGUAUAACGGAUAUUCGUUUUUAUCAUGGAAGACGAAGUGAAAGAGGACCCCACCAGGCCCAACGAGGACCCCACCAGGUCCAAAGAGACCAUGUCCACAUGGAAGGCCGGUUGGGUGAAAAAGGCCUCAGGCAGGUUCCUGGCCAGCUAUAAGGACCGCUACAUCCAGGUGGAGAGGACAGAGCUUGUGGUGUACGAGAAUGAGGACCUUGCAACCUACUUGGAGAAAGUGGACCUGGAAAACUACGAUAAGUGUCAGGAGUUGAGGAGCGCCUUCGGGAAGAAGAAUAGACUGGUGUUGAUACGAGCGGCCAGAUCAGGGAAUAAGGUCCAUGAUGUCAAGUUCCAGGCUCAGAACCCGGAGGAGAAGGAGGCUUGGAUUAAGGCCUUUAGUGACGGCAUCAACAGAGCAAAGAAUAAGAUAUUUGACGAGGUGAAGGUAGAUGAGACCAGUCAGUUGGAGCACGCAACACGCACAAGGCCGAAAGGAAACCGUAACAGAAGACCACCGACCAGGAUACACAUGAAAGAGGUUGCCAACGUCUCAUCAGACGGCAUUCUCCGGCAUGACCUGGACGUGGUGGAUGCCAGCAUCCCCAACGGGACACACCAGAUCACCACAGACACCACUGAGACUCACAAAAAGUCUGUGAAGCCCCCCAUGCCCCCCACGUCCAAACCCAGCGAGGCCCCAGAGGAGUGUCAGACCACCCAGAGCCCUGACGAAGGUCUGCCAUCUGAAACGGAGCCCAGUCCCCAGAAGGUCCUGAAGCCCCCCAUGCCGCCCUCCAAAGAGGCCAAGACGGCUGCUGCUUCUGCAGGGGACCAACUCCCUGAUGAGACGAGCACUGACAGAAGCCCAGAGAAAAAGGUCCUGAAGCCUCCUAUGCCGCCCUCCAAAGAGGCCAAGCCCACAGUGUCUGCCGAGGACCAACCACCUGGGGAGACCAGCCCUGAGAAAAAGGUCCUGAAGACGCCCAUGCCACCCUCCAAAGAGGCCAAGCCCACUGCUCCAGCCGGAGACCAACCCCCCAGGAACACCAGCCCCGAGGGCAGCCCAGAGCAGGGCUUCGAGUCAGCACCACCGCCCACCCCUCCCGGCAAACCAAUUGGUGGCUCCACAGACAACCUGGCCGAGGCCUCCCAAUCCAGCCAGGAACACAGGCCGCCCACCCCACCAUCCAAAGACAAGAAGCCCACUCAGACAGCCGUGCAGGAGAGUACAGAGGAGGCUAGUGGGAUAAGGAAUAAAGGUGAAGAGGAUGAAGUAGAGGAGAAGGAGGAAGAGGGUUCUGAAACCAUUGCAUCUGACGUUCAACAAAUCAGUAUCCUUGAGGGGGCUGAGGAUGAGGAGGAGUCUCCUUCCUCUCUGCUUACAACACCCAUGACCCCCCUAGAGGUCAAAGUUGAACCCUCUGUGACUGACCACCCAGAGGUCACCAGCACCAUAGAAGAAGAGACGCAGAAAGUUGCCAAGCCCAUGGCUCAAGAACAAGAGUCUGCCCCUAGUGGUGGAGUGGAUAUAUCCCCCAAUGAAGAACCUCAGACAAUGAAGUCUUCCCAACUCACAGUAACGCCGUCAGUUCAGACACCGGAGCCAAUGAAAAAGAGCCCUGGCCCUCCCGGACCUCCCACAAAGAAGAAGCCUGUCGUCCUCCCUCCUCCCAAAGCAGUGGUGGUGGCUCAAGACGUCCACCUAAUCGAGCCUAAGAACCAAGCGACAGACAAAACCAAGAACAUCAUCAUCACCACCACACCAGGAGAGAAACUCAACUCUAUCACUUCACCAACACCAGCCGUGGUGACCACAACCAGUCCAACUGAAGAAACAGAGGACCUGAAAGUUCCUGUGGUCGUUGAGACUAAGUCUGAGUUCCCAGUCGUAGUUCUCUCUCUGAGUGACCCUGAGCCAGACCGCUCCUGCUCCAGCCCCGUGUCCUGCCACCUCUCCCCGGAAAAGAAGAGUGAGCGUGAAGAGGAAAAGUCAGUCGACAGCGGCCAACACUCUGACAUCGAUGUCGAUGAAGAAUGGUCAGAGAGCAGGGACACUUUGGCAGCCUCCACCGCUGCCCUAAUGGGCAGCCAAGCUGGCCUGGACGCGCUGAUGGAUGAGAGUCCAGACGGAGACACGGAGACCCCUGGCAGCUUGGGACUCAGCACUGUGGAGGACUGCCCUUCUACGACCCAGACCCCCCAGGACAAUCACUCUGGCCUACACUCCACCUUCCUCCAGGUGAGGGUCAGUCAGGCCUCCCAUUGUCCCCCCAUCCCCUUCAAACCCUUAGCCAAGCUCAUGUCCACCUCUUUGGGGGAUCUCCUCUCUGAGGCCUCAUUGGGUGAAAACAUGAAACUGCCAAUCACAGACGUGGCCGUGACAAAGGCCACCGUGGGUCCUCAAAACUUAACAGAUCUUGAAAAUGAAGUGGCCCUGGAGCUGGAAAAUACAGAGGAGCUCCUGGGGAGCGUCGUCCCCAAAGGGAGCACCGAGGUUGGGCAGAACCCGGCCCUAGCGGGGGGCAAUAGCCUGGAGGACAGGUCGCCGGAGGAGCUGCUAGCCAGAGCCAUGGAGAAGCUGAGGAAAGCAGACCAGUUCCUCAGGCAGGCCAAGUGUAUAAAAGACUCAAAACAUUCUGAGAAUACUGCCAAGAGAAACAGCUGGUGAUUGUUAAAUAUGAAGGAGAAGUAGGGAAAAUGUAUUGAUUAAGGGUGAUGGAAAGUAGUAGCUUGGAAGGACGACAGGUGUUUUCUUAUUCUGGCUGAUUAUGCAGCAUAUUUAUGCAAGUGUUCUGCUGAGAUUUAGCGAAGUGCAAUUUUUUCAACUUUCACUUUUCUCCUGCAAAUGGAGGUUGAUUGUACUUUUUGUACUUAAAAAUUUAUUUUUACAUUCCACAUUGAUCAUCAUCACUUUCCCAAGGAUAUUUACUUGAAUAUUUACAACCCCCGAUCAAACUUUUUAAUGAUACGUUUAAGGAUGUUUCAAAAUGACGUAAGUCUUAGGGGAUGUCGGAAGAGCCUGCAACUUUUUGUAAUCCACGUUUUGAAUGGAUACAGAUUGGUUUCCUCUGUAAUCCUUACCAAUCAAACCAUGAUGACAUUUGAAGUAAUCGUGUUCAUGUAGUUGUAGUAAUCAUGUAUGAGUAGGGUUGUGUUUAUGUAGUUGUAGUAAUCAUGUAUGAGGUGGGUUGUGUUUAUAUAGUUCAUGAAAAUAUAAUUUUCUUGAGAAGUUAUUUGUCUUGAAUAACUACUUCCAAGUGUUAAAAGAAUAUUCAGGGCUUUUAUAAAAUGUCUGAGACAAGCUCUGCCAGUCCAAAUCUCAAUGGCAGGAUGUACAUCAAAUUUGACAACACACCUAUUUUACAAGCCUCCCUUCUGACCGCUAAGGGCCCCAUUUAUUCAACAUUUGCACUUUACAUCAGGUAUCAAUAUUGCACAGUAAGUUUACCAUAGGGAAUUGGACAUAAAUGGUUAAAUAAAAAGGUAAGAAUAAAGGUUCAGAAAGUGAAUCAUUUAUCAAGUAUAAAUUAAGACAGUUCGCUGUUGAAGCUUUGGUGUUUCAUCCAUUAAAAACAGGUGCAAACUUUUCACCAGUUCCAAAUGCAUAGCAAAUGUGACCUUAACUCUGUUCUGGCAAAUACCUAUCAGGCUAGGUUUAUAUACCAUUUCACAAAAGGUUUCAGACUGCACAUUGCAAAACAGGAACUACACUCUUAGAAAGAAAUCUAGAACCUAAAAGGGUUCUUUGGCUGUCCCAAUAAGAGAACCCUUUGAAGAACCAUUUUAGGUUCCAGAAAGAACCCUUUUGAUUCCAGGUAGAACCCUAUUGGGGUCCAUGUAGAACCCUUUCCCAGAAGAACCCAAAGAGUUCUACCUGGAACAAAAAAAGAGUUAUCCUAUGGGACAGCCAAAGAAGCCUUUUGGAACCCUUUUUUCUAAGAGUGUAGGUGGUAUGAUGACUGAGCUACUGUAAAAGUGAGUACAGAACUUAUGAUGCCUACUCUCACCUAGCCCCAAUAAUGUUGUGUUGUAUCUACUCUCACCUAGCC